UUACACAUAAAAGUGAAAUAAUCGAAACGAGAGGCGCACGCGCAUUUAGAUCAGCAAUUUAUUCACUCGCUUUCCGACCUCCGAGCUUGACAGUCUCGUGUCUAGUAAUAAUUGUUUUUUUUUUGUCUAAUAAUUGUUUGUUUAUUAUAACUAUUAUCAACACUACAAAGAAACAAGAUCAAAUAGAAGGCUAAAACCACCGUCUAAUUAAAGCAGUUUGUGAGGUAUUUUUACAUAUUAAUAUAUUAUAUUUGCCACUUGCACGAGUAAUAUUUAUUCCAGUUUUUUGAAGUGACAAAAUAACAAAAAACAGUACUUCCCUUUUUUAUCAUUAACAACCUUUAGUUAAUGUAAAUAUUUAUAACUUACAAUUACUCGUAAGUUAAAAAAAAUAUUUUAUAUCCGCAAAGCUAUGAUGUAACAUUUCUAAUAAAUUAUCGAACAUU